rnacentral:rRNA from 1 species
GACGUAGGGCGCGAGCGUUUGUCCGGAUUUAUUGGGCGUAAAGAGCUCGUAGGCGGUUUGUCGCGUCUGCUGUGAAAACUGGAGGCUCAACCUCCAGCCUGCAGUGGGUACGGGCAGACUGGAGUGCGGUAGGGGAGAAUGGAAUUCCUGGUGUAGCGGUGGAAUGCGCAGAUAUCAGGAGGAACACCGAUGGCGAAGGCGGGUUGCUGGGCCGACACUGACGCUGAGGCGCGAAAGCCAGGGGAGCGAACGGG